GUCAGCUCGUGUCGUGAGAUGUUGGGUUAAGUCCCGCCAACGAGCGCAACCCUUGCCUUUAGUUGCCAGCAGUUCGGCUGGGCACUCUAAAGGGACUGCCGGUGUUAAACCGGAGGAAGGUGGGGAUGACGUCAAGUCAUCAUGGCCCUUACGGCCUGGGCUACACACGUGCUACAAUGGUCGGUACAAAGGGUUGCCAAGCCGCGAGGUGGAGCUAAUCCCAUAAAACCGAUCGUAGUCCGGAUCGCAGUCUGCAACUCGACUGCGUGAAGUCGGAAUCGCUAGUAAUCGUGAAUCAGAAUGUCACGGUGAAUACGUUCCCGGGCCUU
rnacentral:rRNA from 1 species